CCUGACGGAGCAAGACCGCGUGAGGGAGGAAGGCUCUUGGGUUGUAAACCUCUUUUAUCAGGGAAGAAGAUCUGACGGUACCUGAUGAAUCAGCAUCGGCUAACUCCGUGCCAGCAGCCGCGGUAAUACGGAGGAUGCAAGCGUUAUCCGGAUUUAUUGGGCGUAAAGCGUCCGCAGGUGGUUUUUCAAGUCUGCUGUUAAAGCGCAGAGCUUAACUCUGUAACGGCGGUGGAACCUGAGAGACUAGAGAUGGUAGGGGUUGCGGGAAUUCCCAGUGUAGCGGUGAAAUGCGUAGAUAUUGGGAAGAACACCAGCGGCGAAAG
rnacentral:rRNA from 1 species